rnacentral:rRNA from 2 species
UGCAGUCGACGCGUUGGCCCAAUUGAUUGAUGGUGCUUGCACCUGAUUGAUUUUGGUCGCCAACGAGUGGCGGACGGGUGAGUAACACGUAGGUAACCUGCCCAGAAGCGGGGGACAACAUUUGGAAACAGAUGCUAAUACCGCAUAACAACGUUGUUCGCAUGAACAACGCUUAAAAGAUGGCUUCUCGCUAUCACUUCUGGAUGGACCUGCGGUGCAUUAGCUUGUUGGUGGGGUAACGGCCUACCAAGGCGAUGAUGCAUAGCCGAGUUGAGAGACUGAUCGGCCACAAUGGGACUGAGACACGGCCCAUACUCCUACGGGAGGCAGCAGUAGGGAAUCUUCCACAAUGGGCGCAAGCCUGAUGGAGCAACACCGCGUGAGUGAAGAAGGGUUUCGGCUCGUAAAGCUCUGUUGUUAAAGAAGAACACGUAUGAGAGUAACUGUUCAUACGUUGACGGUAUUUAACCAGAAAGUCACGGCUAACUACGUGCCAGCAGNCGNCGGU